rnacentral:rRNA from 1 species
UAGGGAAUCUUCGGCAAUGGACGGAAGUCUGACCGAGCAACGCCGCGUGAGUGAAGAAGGUUUUCGGAUCGUAAAGCUCUGUUGUUAGAGAAGAACGCUGGUAGGAGUGGAAAAUCUACCAAGUGACGGUAACUAACCAGAAAGGGACGGCUAACUACGUGCCAGCAGCCGCGGUAAUACGUAGGUCUCGAGCGUUGUCCGGAGUUAUUGGGCGUAAAGCGAGCGCAGGCGGUUCUUUAAGUCUGAAGUUAAAGGCAGUGGCUUAACCAUUGUACGCUUUGAAAACUGGAGGUCUUGAGUGCAGGAGGGGAGUGUGGAAUUCCGUGUAUAGCGGUGAAAUGCGUAGAUAUAUGGAGGCACACCGGUGGCGAAAGCGGCUCUCUGGUCUGUAACUGACGCUGAGGCUCGAAAGCGUGGGGAGCAAACAGG